ensembl:lincRNA
CUGUAAGUACAGGGAACAAGGAGGUAACAAGAGAGGAACAAAGCUUCACUUUAAUUUACAACCCUCAAAUGUGGUAUUUACCCUGUAAGUACAGGGAACAAGGAGGUAACAAGAGAGGAACAAAGCUUCACUUUAAUUUACAACCCUCAAAUGUGGUAUUUACCCUGUAAGUACAGGGAACAAGGAGGGAACAAGGGAGGAACAAAGCUUCACUUUAAUUUACAACCCUCAAAUGUGGUAUUUACCCUGUAAGUACAGGGAACAAGGAGGGAACAAAUACUGUAUUUACCCUUUAACUACAGGGAACAAAGAGGGAAGAAGCUGAACUUUAACAUACUAGUGUAUACUUGAACACUAAGAACAGAGUAAACUACAGCAGCAGUUUUUAUUGAUUGAAGACCAAAUUACUAGAUUUUUCUAUAAAGUAUCAGCUAUACAUUUACUGAAAUGCAACAGUUAGCCCCCCUGUGCAACAGCAGUAAAGAUGCGAGCCUGUUUUAAUCUGCAUUGAACCCUGACGGUAGGACUAUGUCAUGCAAAGUUAUUUGUUGAUAGUGAGUUAUGGGGACAUUGAUGGCUUUGGUGAGAUCGACGAGUAAACAUAAGGUAAGUAGUGUAUGGAAAUAUAUUUUAUAUUGAAUUGCAGAUUUAAAAUACAUACAGUAUACAAUAAGGGUUCAUAAUUUCACAGGUUGUAAACCUUUUAUUCAUUAAACACCCCAUAUAAAACCCAAGCACUGAAUAAGAGUACUAAUGUACUCACGCAGGUGCAUAUACAGUACAUUUGCAGAUAGCAAUAGGUUGUCACCAUCCUUGCAUAAUUCUUUAUAUGUAUACAAUAC